GACGAACGCUGGCGGCGUGCUUAACACAUGCAAGUCGAACGGUGAAGCGCCUUCCUUUUUGGUGGGUGUGGAUGAGUGGCGAACGGGUGAGUAACACGUGAGUAACCUGCCCCCUUCUUCUGGAUAACCGCAUGAAAGUGUGGCUAAUACGGGAUAUUCUGGGUCUGUCGCAUGAUGGGUCUGGGAAAGAUAUUGUUUCGGUGGGGGAUGGGCUCGCGGCCUAUCAGCUUGUUGGUGGGGUGAUGGCCUACCAAGGCGGUGACGGGUAGCCGGCCUGAGAGGGUGGACGGUCACACUGGGACUGAGACACGGACCAGACUCCUACGGGAGGCAGCAGUGGGGAAUAUUGCACAAGGGGCGCAAGCCUGAUGCAGCGACGCCGCGUGAGGGAUGGAGGCCUUCGGGUUGUGAACCUCUUUCGCCAGUGAAGCAGGCCUGCCUCGUUUGUGGGUGGGUUGACGGUAGCUGGAUAAGAAGCGCCGGCUAACUACGU
rnacentral:rRNA from 1 species